UACAGAGGGUGCGAGCGUUGUCCGGAAUCACUGGGCGUAAAGGGCGCGUAGGUGGCGCCGCAAGUCCAUGGUGAAAGCUCGAUGCUCAACAUCGAGUCGGCCACGGAGACUGCGGGGCUCGAGCACUGUAGGGGAGACUGGAAUUCCUGGUGUAGCGGUGAAAUGCGCAGAUAUCAGGAGGAACACCGGUGGCGAAGGCGGGUCUCUGGGCAUUUCCUGACGCUGAGGCGCGAAAGCGUGGGGAGCAAACGGG
rnacentral:rRNA from 1 species